rnacentral:rRNA from 1 species
GCCGCGUGAGUGAGGAAGGUUUUCGGAUUGUAAAGCUCUGUCGAGCGGAAAGAAGUGCAUGGUGGUUAAUAUCCAUCAUGCUUGACGGUACCGCUAAAGGAAGCACCGGCUAACUCCGUGCCAGCAGCCGCGGUAAUACGGGGGGUGCAAGCGUUGUUCGGAAUCAUUGGGCGUAAAGCGCGUGUAGGCGGCUGGACAAGUCAGAUGUGAAAGCCCUGGGCUUAACCCAGGAAGUGCAUUUGAAACUGUUCAGCUAGAGUAAGGGAGAGGAAAGUGGAAUUCCUGGUGUAGAGGUGAAAUUCGUAGAUAUCAGGAGGAACACCGGUGGCGAAGGCGACUUUCUGGCCCUAUACUGACGCUGAGACGCGAAAGCGUGGGUAGCAAACAGGAUUAGAUACCCUGGUAGUCCACGCUGUAAACGAUGUUCACUAGGUGUUGGGGGUAUUGACCCUUCCAGUGCCGCAGCUAACGCAUUAAGUGAACCGCCUGGGGAGUACGGUCGCAGAUUAAAACUCAAGGAAUU